ensembl:lncRNA
ACCACAGGAUGUCCUUUUCACAUCCACAACUGCGCAACUGAGAGAAGAGCAUGAGCAGCUGAGAAGAUUUUAUUGUGUGUUAAAUAAGGACCUCUUCAGGGAGAAAUUGAUGGCUCAAAAGGUUCACCAACACCUCCCGGAUCCCAUCAUCCCCUCAGCCUGAGUGCAGCUCCUAUUACUGCUGCUGCUCCGAGGAGCCGGGUUUGUACGUAGUCAGCAGGUAAUAAAUACAUCCGUAGACUGGCUCCUCCAUCUGGACCAACGACCUUGCUUCUAGGUGACUCAGUGAGUGGAGAUCAAGCCUCAGAUGCUCUUUCUGCAGUGGAGUCACAUUCUCAUGUCCUGUCUUCAUCUGUAAACUGUGCAUACCACUGAUAACUACCUGAUUCAAGGCUCAGUUGAAAUGACCCAGGUGAAGCUUCUUCCCAGCAAGGAUCUCAUUAAUGAACUUGGUCCCCUUCUUUGAUGAACGUUUGGACACUGACAGGUACUUCUCUGAGCAGUGUCUCCUUCAGAUGGCCUUUGAUGCUUUGCCUCGCAUUCCACAUGUUAUAUGGUGUUGGGCAAGAGGCACACCUGUCUUCUUUCCUGGCCUCUUUCAGGCUAGACUGAUCUCAGACACCCUCCCCUGGAAGGCUGAUUGGAUAAAUACAGACACAAUCAGAUAUACAGUGAAGAGAAUUUCAGUCAAUCAGUGUGUUCAGUAGUUAUACUAGAUAAAAUCAAGACUUUAAAAUAAGGAAGCUUGAGGAAAAGUGACUAAAGGGAUUUAACAAUCUGUUGUGUUGUGUGCAGCCUUCUUUGGAGUGUAAUGAUUUACUUUUGUUGAAAUAAAAAUAUCAAUUACUAAUAUUUCCACGGUGAAAAAGUAGACAAAGAAUCUGAUAAUUCUUCAAGUUUUUAUUGUAUCUUUUUGUAUGUUUUCUUUCAAAACUCAUUUUCAUUUACUGGCCAGAAUUUUACCUCCUGUUGAUGCUGCACAACUGUUGCAAUAAAUUCAGUCGUAUCACACGACUCAGAGAGAAUUUGAGUUCUGGCAAGUUGAGCAAGCUGCUGGAGACAUGUCACAGGGAAGUUUGGGACAUAAGACCUCAGGCACAAGCCACCUGGGAGCAAGGACCUCCCCCCCCCACCUCCACCACAAAAGUGAAGCCACCUUCCUUUCUCUCCAUGGCCUCAGUCUCCUCAUCUGGUCAUGGUCCUCAUUCUAAUGGUCUUUCUGGGCCAUGGGGUGCAGAGGACAGUCCCCCAUGUGGCCACAGGCUUGGACUGGCCCAGAGGUUGGGACUGGCAGGCUAA